UGGGGAAUUUUGGACAAUGGGCGAAAGCCUGAUCCAGCAAUGCCGCGUGUGUGAAGAAGGCCUUCGGGUUGUAAAGCACUUUUGUCCGGAAAGAAAUCCUUGGCUCUAAUACAGUCGGGGGAUGACGGUACCGGAAGAAUAAGCACCGGCUAACUACGUGCCAGCAGCCGCGGUAAUACGUAGGGUGCAAGCGUUAAUCGGAAUUACUGGGCGUAAAGCGUGCGCAGGCGGUUUGCUAAGACCGAUGUGAAAUCCCCGGGCUCAACCUGGGAACUGCAUUGGUGACUGGCAGGCUAGAGUAUGGCAGAGGGGGGUAGAAUUCCACGUGUAGCAGUGAAAUGCGUAGAGAUGUGGAGGAAUACCGAUGGCGAAGGCAGCCCCUGGGCCAAUACUGACGCUCAUGCACGAAAGCGUGGGGAGCAAACAGGAUUAGAUACCCUGGUAGUCCACGCCCUAAAACGAUGUCAACUAGUUGUUGGGGAUUCAUUUCCUUAGUAACGUAGCUAACGCGUGAAGUUGACCGCCUGGGGAGUACGGUCGCAAGGCUAAAACUUAAAUGAAUUGACGGGGUCAUAGCUGUUUCCU
rnacentral:rRNA from 1 species